rfam:Felis catus isolate Cinnamon breed Abyssinian chromosome B2, whole genome shotgun sequence.
GCCUGGGUGGCUCAGUUGGUUGAGCGUCUGACUUUGGCUCAGGUCAUGAUCUCACAGCUCUGUGAGUUUGAGCCCCACAUUGGGCU